rnacentral:rRNA from 1 species
GAUGAACGCUGGCGGCGUGCCUAAUACAUGCAAGUCGAGCGAACGGACGAGAAGCUUGCUUUUCUGAUGUUAGCGGCGGACGGGUGAGUAACACGUGGAUAACCUACCUAUAAGACUGGGAUAACUUCGGGAAACCGGAGCUAAUACCGGAUAAUAUUUUGAACCGCUUGGUUCAAAAGUGAUAGACGGUCUUGCUGUCACUUAUAGCUGGAUCCGCGCUGCAUUAGCUAGUUGGUAAGGUAACGGCUUACCAAGGCAACGAUGCAUAGCCGACCUGAGGGGGUGAUCGGCCACACUGGAACUGAGACACGGUCCAGACUCCUACGGGAGGCAGCAGUAGGGAAUCUUCCGCAAUGGGCGAAAGCCUGACGGAGCAACGCCGCGUGAGUGAUGAAGGUCUUCGGAUCGUAAAACUCUGUUAUUAGGGAAGAACAUAUGUGUAAGUAACUGUGCACAUCUUGACGGUACCUAAUCAGAAAGCCACGGCUAACUACGUG